AAAUGAGUAAAUUUAAGACUUAGAAAGUGAUAGUUUGGAAGUAAAAUUACCUACAUUCUGUUGUGAUUUGUCUCUUUGAGAACUUUACUGGCCUAGCAUUGUGUGAUUGAUACCAACUUGGAAGAAUGAUGGAGCAUAGUGGAAGAAGGAACGUGACCACAGGAGAAAAAAAAAAAGGGGGCUUAUUUUAAAUAGAGGAAGUACAGAAAGCAUAGAUGGCAGCAUUCUUUCUAGAUGAGAGGUCUUCUAGUCUGGAGUUGACAGUAGCAGAAGGAAAGAGUCCAUAAGGUGCCUGGGAAAGAUAAAAAGAAAUCUAAAAAUUGGAAGUGUUGAAGACUGAGUUUUCCAAAUGCAAAAGGAAGCAUUCCUGCCUUUCUACACCAGCACCCAGGAGAAGCAAAGCAGAACUAGCCAAAGGACUGCCUUACGAUUUGGUAUGUUCUUUUUCUCUGGAAAGAAGGGAUGAUUUUCCAGUCCUAGAGAGCUAAACUGUACCACAUCACUUGGCUACAAGUGUGAAAUCGCUUCAGGACAGAGUUUUGGAAAUGGUGAUGGCACAUAUACUGCAUAUCACAACCCCCAUGACACAUCAUUACUGCUAUUUCAGUCUCUGCAGGAGAAUCAUUAUCUGUGAACUGGAGCAUGCUCAUCAAACACUGCAUCCUGCAUGAUGACAAGAGCUUCACUCCAGCAAAUUAAUGAAGUGCAUGCUCAGUGCUAAGCAGCCAAGGUCUCACUGACUUCAAUGAGACUAAAGUUAAUUGCCUCACUGGAUUAUGAUAGUGUUGUCAGAUCAGAAGGCUGGAAGCUACUGAAUAACAAUA